GGCUAUCCAAGGAACCUUACCUUGAAGAUGAUUUAAACAAAGAUUUGGUCCAAACUAAGCUUGGAAGCAUCAUUAUCAUGAGCCACAGUAGGACGUAUCAUCCAAUAUCUUGUCAAUAUCAUUGAGAGGGCCAACCUGCGAGAGCAAAAAGGUGAUCCUAUCCGCACACAACGACAUGAGCAACGCUGGGCAAGGUUACACCCUUUCGCGAGCAAGACGCGGAUACCAAAGAAGCUAGAGGGCUGGGCAAAUCGAAAAUUAUCAUUACAACCUACAAACUUGGAAUGAUAUUCAGCUCAUAGAAAUCAACAAGACUUUGUUGAUAAAUUGAUGCGAUUGUUCACAUUUGCAAAUAAAAGAAAAAGAAUAGCAUAUCACGCUGGUAAGCUUUGUCAACAUGAAAUUGUCAAGUCUACUUCCGUUGCAAAUGUCUGGGUUACUAAGCCUAAAGCUCUCUAGUAAGUACUCUAGAUUUUAAUCAUCAAUGUUGUUGAUUGCUAUUAUUUCAUGAUUUUGUUUUCACUAUUAACAUCGAUCUAAUUGCUUCAUGAUUGUGGAUGUAUUUUGCUCUAUUGAAAAGUACUAAAAAAAUUAUCUGAUCAAAGGAGUUUACAAAGGA